CAAUAGCGUAUAUUAAAGUUGUUGCGGUUAAAAAGCUCGUAGUUGGAUUUCUGCUGAGAACGACCGGUCCGCCCUUUGGGUGUGUAUCUGGCUCUUUCUUGGCAUCUUCUUGGUGAACGUUGCUGCACUUGACUGUGUGGAGCGCUACCCAGGACUUUUACUUUGAGGAAAUUAGAGUGUUUCAAGCAGGCAUACGCCUUGAAUACAUUAGCAUGGAAUAAUAAGAUAGGACCUCGGUUCUAUUUUGUUGGUUUCUAGAGCUGAGGUAAUGAUUAAUAGGGAUAGUUGGGGGCAUUCGUAUUUAACUGUCAGAGGUGAAAUUCUUGGAUUUGUUAAAGACUAACUUAUGCGAAAGCAUUUGCCAAGGAUGUUUUCAUUAA
rnacentral:rRNA from 1 species